GGACUACCGGGGUAUCUAAUCCCGUUCGCUCCCCUGGCUUUCGCGCCUCAGCGUCAGAGAAGGCCCAGCACGCCGCUUUCGCCACCGGCGUUCCUUCCGAUAUCUACGCAUUUCACCGCUCCACCGGAAGUUCCGCGUGCCCCUACCUCCCUCGAGGCGGCCCGUAUCGGAGGCUGUUUCACGGUUGGGCCGUGAGAUUUCACCCCCGACGUUGCCGCCCGCCUACGCGCCCUUUAAGCCCAGUGAAUCCGAACAACGUUCGCACGGUUCGUCUUACCGCGGCGGCUGGCAC
rnacentral:rRNA from 2 species